ACGGGGAGCCAGAUGUCCGGGCUGGCAGGCCGGAUGUCCGGGCUGACGGAGCUGGUUGGACAUCCGGCCUGCCAGCCCGGACAUCUGGCUCCCCGU
rnacentral:pre_miRNA from 1 species